rnacentral:rRNA from 1 species
AUUGAACGCUGGCGGCAGGCUUAACACAUGCAAGUCGAGCGAGCGGCGGACGGGUGAGUAAUGUCUGGGAAACUGCCUGAUGGAGGGGGAUAACUACUGGAAACGGUAGCUAAUACCGCAUACCAUCAGAUGUGCCCCGAUGGGAUUAGCUAGUAGGUGGGGUAAUGGCUAACCUAGGCGACGAUCCCUAGCUGGUCUGGGAGGAGGACCAGCCACCCUGGAACUGAUACAGGGUCCAGAAGCCUACGGGAGGCAGCAGUGGGGAAUAUUGCACAAGGGGCGCAAGCCUGAUGCAGCCAUGCCGCGGGUGUGAAGAAGGCCUUCGGGUUGUAAAGCACUUUCAGCGAGGAGGCGUUACUCGCAGAAGAAGCACCGGCUAACUCCGUGCCAGCAGCCGCGGUAAUAC